CCUACGGGUGUCAGCAGUGGGGUAUAUUGCACAAUGGGGGGAACCCUGAUGCAGCGACGCCGCGUGGGUGAAGGAGUGCUUCGGCAUGUAAAGCCCUAUCGGCCGGGAAGAAACGAGACGGUCCCUGACUCAGAAGCCCCGGCUAACUACGUGCCAUCAUCCGCGGUAAUCCUGAGGGGGCUAGCGUUAUCCGGAUUCACUGGGGGUAAAGGGAUCGUAGACGGCCAUGCAAAACAGGUGGGAAAGCCCGGGGCCCAACCCCGGGCCUGCCCUUGGAACUGCAUGGCUGGAGUGCGGGAGGGGCAGGCGGAAUUCCUGGUGUAGCGGUGAAAUGCGUAGAUAUCAGGAGGAACACCGGCGGCGAAGGCGGACUGCUGGACUGCGACUGACGUUGAGGCUCGAAAGCGUGGGGAGCGAACAGGAUUAGAUACCCCUGUAGUC
rnacentral:rRNA from 1 species